CACAAACAUGUCAAUGCAUGCAUUCUCUCACGGAUUAUGAAGUAUCACAACACAAAGGACUUUGUUACCUUUUGUAUCCCCUAUCUAUUUUGUAUCUCAAAUGUUUUAAAAGUUAACACUGGACAAAACUACUGCAGAAGCGUGGAUAUUCAUUUUAAUUUCAGGAGAUUUUCUCCUUCCAACAGCGGAACUGAAAAGCAUCUGAAUGCUAAAUCUAAUGUUGUCAGUGAUGUCUGAUGGAGGAGGAUUAUGUUGGAGAUACUGAUGAGCUCUAUGUUGUGGGGUCUGGACCCCGUGUUCUCAGCAUACUCCAAAGUUUACAUCACAGGCACCCUACAAAUGACAGAGUCUUUACAAGUGCCAGGACUAUCUACAGUAAGUGGACUGUGGGCAAAAAAACAACAACUAAAAGCUGAUUAUAAAUAGUCUACAACAAAUUAAAUGGAGUUUAUUUCUACAAGACCCACACACUAUUCCAGGUCGAUGUUCUGGGGACAGUUGUGUACAAGCGGGAGAGAGACGACUUCUACUGCUAUGGAGAUAAAGUGAACGAUCCUGUGAUGGCAGUGCAGAUCACGCAUGCUGGAAAUGCCUCUGCUGUACAUAAAGUGCUAUGAUCAGCUGUUACAGAUGCCAAGUGAGGAACUGGGAGGCUCAGUGUAAGCCAGACAAAAUGAUAGGUGUGGUUUUUAUUUUGUAGUCAUCAAAUGGGCUGAGCUUUGAAUUUACACUUAUUUACCUUGGAAAGGGGAAGAAAAUGCUGGUAAAGUUUUGUUUGUUCUCUUGUGUAAUGUGCUUGUGUAAUACAUCAAAUAUACACUCACUGAGCACUUUAUUAGCAACACUAUGGUCCUAAUAAAGUGCCAGAUGUGGUCUUCUGCUGUUGUAGCCCAUCAGCCUUGAGGUUUGAACUGUUGUGCAUUCUGAGAUUCUUUUCUGCUCACCACAAUUGUACAGAGUGGUUAUCUGAGUUACCAUAGCCUUUCUGUCAGCUCAAACCAGUCUGACCAUUCUCUGUUGACCUCGCUCAUCAACAAGGCAUUUCCAUCUCUUAUAUAACUAUAGAGGCUGUUGUGUGUGAAAAUCACAGGAGAUCAACAGUUGCAGAAAUACUCAAACCAGCCCGUCUGGCAGCAACAAUCACACAACGGUCGAAAUCACUGAGAUCACAUUUUUCCCCAUUCUGAUGGUUGAUAUGAAGCUGAAGCUCCUGACCCAUAUGUACAUGAUUAUAUGCAUUACACUUCUGCCACAUGAUUGGCUGAUUAGAUAUUUGCAUGAAAAAUAGGUGUACUUGCAUUCCUAACAAUAUAAAGUGUGUUUCAAAAAUGCUUAAUGCUUCUUUAAACUGUAUUUUCAGGGCAAGUGGGUCCUCAGAGUUCCAGUAUUUGGUGUCUCGGUCAGUUUCCAACCUAAAGGAAUUCCUUGCAGAAAAAGUGGUGCAGUGCUGUUUCAUAGGGUACAAAAUCGAAAUGCAUUAAACCACCAAGAAAACUGUUUUUGUUCAAUGUCAGUGCUCCUGGCUGGGGCUACAGCGAGGAAUAACGUGUGUUAGGCAUAGCAGGGGAGGGUGUGUUGAGCUGUUUGAUGGCAGCAGGCGGGAAUGAUCGUCUGGAGCGCUUUUAUGAAGUCUCCUCCGAGACGCUGCUAGUCUGGAGAUUCAAGGACAGCAACAUAUGGGGAGGAGAAGUAUGCUAAUGAGAAUCUUUUCAAUGUCUGCCUUAGCGAUGAAGUGAGAAUGUCUCUUGAAUAUACCAAAAGCAUUUGAUGUUGUAAAUGUUCUUAAUUUGUUGCAAUAGAAGUUUUUUGCCAAUUGAAUACAUUUGGGCUGAGUUGGUCACUUUGAAUGAUGAAUCGCAUGAAAGUGAUCCAUUGUGAGGAUGACUCAUCCAUUUUGAGGCAUUCCUUUUGUCUGAAGUAGUCAGAUGCGCAUGGAACCUCAUUUUCUACACACAUUCGAAAACGUCCGAAAGAGACCCUGAGCGUCCUCCAGGGACAAAUAUUCUGCAAAAUGCGGACACAGAACGAAGUCUACAAUGUAUGUGCAUGCACAUGUGCAUAACCAAACGAGACAAAGAUCUUCUCUCCGUGAUCAGGGAAAUUUUACAAGAGGAUACCAAAAGGGAAAAAUGCAUGUUUUCAUGUGUGUGCAUGCUUGCUUUACAUACUACUGUAAAAACACACACAAUGUUUAAUAUACACAUGUGAGUGGAGAACCCUCUUCAUAUGUUGCUGUUUUGCAGAUGCUGAGAAAUUAUGCCAUGUCCUUAAUUUACUGUCCAGUGUUAGACAGCACUACAGCCAAUACCUGAAUCGUGAGGCUCUGGAGGUUGCUCUGAUUUUCAUGGAAUGCAACAGGGAUAAAAUCAGCACAACAGAGGCCCACCACAUUGUCCUUUAGCAUCAUUUUUAAAACAUUCAAUUUAAAAAUAUUAGCAAAGUGUUAUAAUUACUUAAUGUUGAAAUUGCCUCAUUAUUUAGGAAAAUAACACACAUUUGAUAUCUUCUGAAAAGUUGUACAGUUUACCAGCCUGUCAUUUACUACUGUAGUUACAAUCAGUGGCCACACGAGGUCAGUGUGACUGAAUAAAUACGCCAUAGUUCUAAAACAUAUGUUUAUUAUUUUUUUUUUUUUUACAUUACAUAAAAACUAUUUGUAAAGUGUUCAGACACAAUCAGGCAUCAUAGUUUUAACAGUUAAAUUUACCAUAAAAUAAUUUAAUAGCUAUUAAUUGUUGUGUACUCGUAAUUGCUUUUCAUGGUUUAGCAUAAAACAAUUAUGUAGACAUAUUUGUAAUAUUAUUCUUAAUGUUGAAAUUACCAAACAUUUGAUAUCUUCUGAAUAUUUGCAGUUUACCAGCCUGUCAUUUAUGACUGUAGUUACAAUCAGUGGCCACAAGGGGUGAGUGUGAGCCAUAUAUACGUCACUGAAUGUUUUUAACAUGCAUCCGGUAGAGGCAUAUCAUCAAUGUGAAAUACGACAUAGUUUUUUGUAUGG